rnacentral:rRNA from 1 species
GCUUAGCCCCAAACCUAGAUAUUUAACAUACAAAAAUAUCCGCCAGAGAACUACGAGCAAACGCUUAAAACUCUAAGGACUUGGCGGUGCCUUAAACCCCCCUAGAGGAGCCUGUUCUAUAAUCGAUAAUCCACGAUCCACCUCACCAUCUCUUGCCAAUACCGUCUAUAUACCACCGUCACCAGCCUACCCUAUGAAGGACAUAAAAGUAGGCAAAAUAGCCAACAACAGCUAAUAAGUCAGGUCAAGGUGUAACUAACUGAGAUGGAAGAAAUGGGCUACAUUUUCUAAACUAGAAAUAACAUCACAGAAAAAACCAUGAAACAGGUUCCAUAAGCAGGAUUUAGCAGUAAAUAGGAACCAGAAUGCCUAAUUUAAGCCGGAUUCAAGGCACGC